UGCUGGUUGACUAGGACAUGAGGCAGAACUCUUUUUCCUCUUUGAAAUAAUGUGGAGUAUCACUGUGGACUGUUAUCAGGAAUUCAUCAAGAGAAGCGAGUUUCCUUCCCAUUGUGAGAUUAGGGAGCCUGAGGACAUUAGAGGCACAAGUCACAUGAUCAUACACUACAGGCCCCUCAGGGUAGACGGACAAUAAAAAAGGCAUGAUGAUGUCAAAAUGUGCAGUACGCGUUAAUGCCUGAUGGAAAUUGGACGUCUUACAACCUUCACGGUUUACAGAAGAGUACAUCAAAGUGAAGUUGUGAAUAUUGCACAAUCUAAAGUAGCCCAGGGCUAUUAUUCUAAUGCAUUAAAAAUAACCUCUUAA